ACGUCUACAUUAGAUACCCCCGGUAGUCCCAGCCGUAAACUAUGCGCGUUAGGUGUAUCGGUGACCACGAGUUACCGAGGUGCCGAAGGAAACCGUGAAACGUGCCGCCUGGGAAGUACGGUCGCAAGGCUGAAACUUAAAGGAAUUGGCGGGAGCACCACAACGGGUGGAGCCUGCGGUUUAAUUGGACUCAACGCCGGGAAGCUCACCGGAUAAGACAGCGGAAUGAUUGCCGGGCUGAAGACUCUGCAUGACUAGCUG
rnacentral:rRNA from 1 species